AUACGGAGGAUCCGAGCGUUAUCCGGAUUUAUUGGGUUUAAAGGGAGCGCAGGCGGAGAUGCAAGCGUGACGUCAAAUUUCGGGGCUCAACCCCGUCUCGCGUCGCGAACUGCGUCCCUUGGUUGCGGGAAGGGGAGGCGGAACUCGUGGUGUAGCGGUGCAAUGCAUAGAUAUCUCGAAGAACUCCGAUCGCGAAGGCUGCCUUCCGGCCCGUCAACGACGCUCAUGCUCGAAGGUGCGGGUAUCAAACAGGAUUAGAUACCCUGGUAGUCCGCACAGUAAACGAUGGACACCCGGGGUUUGGCCUAUAUGGCUGAGCCGCCAAGCGAAAGCGUUAAGUGUCCCACCUGGGGAGUACGCCGGCAACGGUGAAACUCAAAGGAAUUGACGGGG
rnacentral:rRNA from 1 species